UACAGAGGGUGCAAGCGUUAAUCGGAAUGACUGGGCGUAAAGCGUGUGUAGGUGGUUGGAUAAGUUAGAUGUGAAAUCCCAGGGCUUAACCUUGGAACUGCGUUUAAGACUGUUUAACUAGAGUACUGUAGAGGAUAGUGGAAUUUCCAGUGUAGCGGUGAAAUGCGUAGAUAUCGGGAGGAACACCAGUGGCGAAGGCGAUCACCUGGGGUUGUUCUGACGCUGAGGAGCGAAAGCUAGGGGAGCAAACGGG
rnacentral:rRNA from 1 species